UUCUAUUCUAGAUUUUACAUGCUGAAAAGUCUCCAGUUGCCAGGCAUUUCAAUGCUUAAAAUCAUAACAUUAAUGAGCUUUGCUGUCACAGCAGUUCUUCAGGUUUCCCAUAGCAGAAGAAGUCUAGGAAAAAAAGUUAAUACAGAGAAAGCAUUUUUGGAUUCAUUAUCUUGGCACUUUAUUGCCUCCUGGGAUGAAUGAAGAUCUUUCAUUAACAUUUUUUGCGUUUUUUGUGAUUGAUUAUGUCCAGGGAGAUUUGUUUGGAUGUUGCAAGCUCAUGGAACAUUAGUUAUUGAUGACUAUUGUUGUUUAGAAUAUGGUACUUCCGGCUACUUUAUGCUUCUUAAUGUCAAAUAGGUCACGCUAGCUUGGUUGCAACAGUGUUGCCAGUUGGCACGCUGAGAAAGGGUGUCUGCCCAAAACAUGCAUGAAUAAAUCAUGUCAUUGAUGUGCUCUCCUGGUCAUGAUCAUUGACCUUUGCUUCUGAGGACUCAACAUCCAUCUACACGAUGGGCUGCAUGGCAAGCUGUGGCUCUGAUGGCAGGGGGCACACCUUCACCACUGCAUCCACCACCUUUGGUGAGACAUCAAACACUCUGUAGUAGAGUCUUGACUGGGCAGCAAGGAUUCCAAAUGUUCACUCCACCAUCCUCCUGGAACAGGAAAGAUGAGAGAAGAGUAAAAGAUGCCUGCACAGAACAUGCAGUCAGUGUGUGCAAAAAAAUUGCCAGUGCCUUCUUGUACUCUUGGAAAAGGAAGGGGGACCUGGCCUUUUCUCAAGCUGAACUCAAAGCACCAGCUCAUAACAGAGAAGCCUAGUUGGUGGGGACCGUGACAGUAGAUGAUCCAAAGACUGAUCGAGCAGGAGAGAGCCAUAAGUCAGGUGCUGAAAGCUGGCAAGAAAACAAGGCACUUGGUGCCCAGCUUGCAGGACAUGGAUGUGCUGGAGGCAGUUAACAAGGUGUUGAACCCACUUCAGGAGUUCACAGAUGCCUUUUCUGGUGAACGCUAUGUUAGCAUCUCAUACCUCAAGCCAGUACUCCAUCUCUUCAAUGAAACCAUUCUUGUUGGCAUAUCUAUUUAUUUUUAAAUUCUGUUUUCACUACAUUGC